rnacentral:rRNA from 1 species
GACAGAGGUGCCAAGCGUUAGGCGGAAUCACUGGGCUUAAAGCGUGUGUAGGCGGACUUCUAAGUACCUUGUGAAAUCCCACGGCUUAACCGUGGAACUGCUCGGUAUACUGGUUGUCUUGAGCCACUUAGGGGCUACCGGAACAAAUGGUGGAGCGGUGAAAUGCGUAGAUAUCUGGAGGAAUACCGGUGGCGAAGGCGGCAUCCUGGACCGACAUUGACGCUGAGGCACGAAAGCGUGGGGAGCAAACAGG